CGGGGGGAGGGGCCCGGCCUGGAGACGGCUGUGGGUGCAACGGAGUCAGAACAGAGUCCUCAGAGCUGGGCGUUUCCAGAAGGUGUUGUUUUCGGUGACAGGAAUUUCUCUCCACGUCUUGUGGCUUCAGUAUAUUCCUCGCGGACCCCAGUUUCUUCCCCUUAGGGGAGCACGUCCUGGGUGCUGUUAGUGGUGACACCCCGCAGGGCCAGCCUGGGGCAGAGGGCAAGGUGGCGCCAUGGCUGGCACAUUGGGGCACGGUGCCCACUUUCCGGCGUGCCCUGCCCUGUUGUUUGUGGCCCCGUCCGUGGGCAGCACGCUCGGGCCGCAGCCGCCUUCCCACCAGCACUGACACUGACCCCGUCCUCUCCUGGGCUGAGGGUGGCCUGCUGAUUCUCCUUCUCCGAAGCCUCUUUUUGUCUCACUUGGAUCUGAUCACCUCAUUUGCUCUUGGCUCAGUUUCCUUCCUUUUUGCCUCUAAGUCUUCCCACCCCAGUGGCUCGGCUCAAUCCCACCAAAGCCAGAGCCACUGUCCCCACGUGCUCGAGCUGCCUCUGGGCCCCGCUGCGUGCUGGGACAGGCCUCACUGCCUCCAGACUCCAGUCCCCACUUCCUGGCAUCAACACUUCGUUGCUUUGCUCCCUCGUGUUGGUGGAGUCAGCAUGUGUUCCGGAAGCUUCCUGGGCCAUGCGUGAGGGAGGCAGACACGCUGCGCAGCCAGACAGGCCGCCUUGGCUUCGCUCCCACCAGCCUGACAGUGGAGCGGGGGCACCGUGUCCCUCGGCUGCAGGCGGCGCUGCUCCAGCUCUGUCCGGCACAGUGUCCGAGGUGGCACCUGCCGUCUGCCGCGGGGAGGACUGCGCCCCUGCCCCGUGCGCUGCGCGGUUUGCACGCCCCCCCGUCAGAGCCCCGGCUGCUCACGCCCCGCGGGGGUUCAGCAGGACCGCCCCAGCCACGGUCGACCCCCACGGCGAGAAGCCGGCAGACGCGCGUCCCAAGAGCCUCCUCCCAGCCACACGACGGUGGGCUUGCCUUCAAAGCUCCCGUGCCUCAGUUUCCUCUUCUGAAAUGGGGGCGUCGGUGGUGCCGUCUCGGGUCGCCGUAGGUCAGCCAGUGCACGGGACCAACACAGGACACAGAUGCGGGUGCUCGCCCCGUGCCUGGGCUCUUCUCUUUCCCCACUGAGUCCUCACAAACCCAUCGGGUCUGACCCCAAGACGUUUUGUGGGUAAAUAAACAGCCCAAAAGAGUUGUCUACGUGAGCAAUCCAGUUCCAAAGCAGGACUGGGCCAGACGUCCCAACAGCAGACAGGGAGAAGGCGCAGAGAUUCGUGGCCCCACGUGUGGGAAUGUCCCUCCAAGAGGGGCCGUGGACGUGCCGGGCUGCGGGGCAGGAGGACGUCAGCCGUCUCUCACGGCGCACUUGCUGUCCUGCCUGUCACGCAGCGGAGCUUUCCAGAGCAGGCGUGAAGCCCUGUCGAGUUGUUCUAGGAACUAGUUGUUUAAAAUGCUGCCUGAGGUGCUGAUAACCCUUGCUGGGUCGUGGUGCUGGCUGUGUCUUCGUCCCGCUGCAGGGACACCUCUGGGGUCUGCAGAGCCGGGGGUGCAGGUGCUGGCUGGUGCCCAUGACACGGGACGCUGCCACCACCUUUCCCUGUCGAGUGGAAAAGAAAUUGAGGUAUUUUUCACUGAGAUUCAGAAAGGCCUGGGUGGAGCCCACCAGGAGUGUCCUCUUCUCUUGGGCCCGUGGGUGCGCCACCAAGCCCCAGAGCGCACGUGCUCUUUCGUUUCUGUGUUUCCAUGGGGCCGUGCCCACUGACGACAGGCUCCAGGCUGGUCAGAAAGAGCCUUUGGCGUGGACCGGGUGCUGGCCUUCUGCCUUGCAGGCGGGUGGA